GCCGUGCGAGUAGCUCAGGCGGCAGAGCGCCGAGACUCUGAAUCUCAGGGUCGCGGGUUCGAGCCCCACGUUGGGCC